GAAGCUGGAAUUGCUAGUAAUGGCAGGUCAGCAUACUGCCGUGAAUACGUUCCCGGGCCUUGUACACACCGCCCGUCACACCAUGAGAGUUGGGAAUACCCGAAGCCUGUGAGCUAACUUUUAGAGGCAGCAGUCGAAGGUAGAAUCAAUGAUUGGGGUGAAGUCGUAACAAGGUAAC
rnacentral:rRNA from 1 species